AGCCCUGUGGCUCAGUUGGUAGAGCAUGGUCUUUGCAACGCCAGAGUUGUGGGUUCGUUUCCCACGGGGGGCCA
rfam:Salmo salar isolate Sally breed double haploid chromosome ssa12, whole genome shotgun sequence.